UUGCAAACUUGAUCACUAGCUCUGCAUGAAGUUGCAGAAGCAAAGGGAACAGGUUUGCUAAAAUAAACAUGGUCAUAGACCCUGUAUUAGCCUUAGAAAUCUCAUUAUUUGGGCUGUUAACUCUAUGCCGUGACAAGG